CAAGUUGGAAUAUUUAUUAAAUCAUCACUACUGUCAACCACCAAAUCUCAUCAGACUUCACUGAACAAACCAAGUUUAAAAUUUGUCAAGCAGCAGGGCCAGUUGCUAAGGGUGACAGUGCACAGGAAGGAUUAAAAGUGAACAAUGACUCAAGUGAAAGUAUACAUCAGAUUACUGGGAGCCUAUCUGUUCAUCAGUCUUCAUGUUCAGGGGCGAAAUCUAGACAGCAUGCUCCAUGGCACAGGAAUGAAGACAAAUCCUGACCAGAAGAAACAGGCAAAUGGAGUAACAUUGGCUCCAGAGGAUACCUUACCUUUUCUACAGUGCUACUGUUCAGGACAUUGUCCCGAUGAUGCUGUUAAUAAUACAUGCAUGUAAAGGGCAUUGCU